rnacentral:rRNA from 1 species
GACGAACGCUGGCGGCGUGCUUAACACAUGCAAGUCGAGCGAGAACCCGGGGCUUGCCCGGGGAAGGACGGCGAACGGGUGCGUACCACGUGGGCGAACCUGCCCCACGACACUGGGAGUAACUCCGGGAAACCGGGGCGUAAUACCGGAUACUCCGGCCGAACCGCAUGAUCCGGCCGGGAAAGCUCCGACGGUCUGGGAUGGGCUCGCGGCCUAUCAGCUUGUUGGUGGGGUAACGGCCUACCAAGGCUUCGAC